GGGGAUUUAGCUCACUGGUAGAGCGCUUGCCUAGCAAGCGCAAGGCCCUGGGUUCAGUUCCCAGCUCCG
rnacentral:tRNA from 1 species